rnacentral:rRNA from 1 species
UACGGGGGGAGCAAGCGUUGUUCGGAUUUACUGGGCGUAAAGGGCGCGUAGGCGGUCAGUGCAAGUCAGUUGUGAAAUCUCCGGGCUUAACUCGGAAAGGUCAACUGAUACUGCUCGACUAGAGUGCGGAAGGGGCAACUGGAAUUCUUGGUGUAGCGGUGAAAUGCGUAGAUAUCAAGAGGAACACCUGCGGCGAAGGCGGGUUGCUGGGCCGACACUGACGCUGAGGCACGAAGGCCAGGGGAGCAAACGGG